ACGCUGGCGGCGUGCCUAACACAUGCAAGUCGAACGAGAAUCAAUGGAUUGAGACUUCGGUUGAUUGAAGUUGAGGAAAAGUGGCGAACGGGUGAGUAACGCGUGAGAAACCUGCCUUUCAGUGGGGGGACAACAGUUGGAAACGACUGCUAAUACCGCAUGAUGUAUUCGGGGGGCAUCCUCUGGAUACCAAAGCUUUAUGUGCUGAAAGAUGGUCUCGCGUCUGAUUAGCUAGUUGGUGGGGUAACGGCCCACCAAGGCGACGAUCAGUAGCCGGUCUGAGAGGAUGAACGGCCACAUUGGGACUGAGAUACGGCCCAGACUCCUACGGGAGGCAGCAGUGGGGAAUAUUGGGCAAUGGGGGAAACCCUGACCCAGCAACGCCGCGUGAAGGAAGAAGGCUUUCGGGUUGUAAACUUCUUUUACCAGGGACGAAGAACGUGACGGUACCUGGAGAAAAAGCAACGGCUAACUACGUG
rnacentral:rRNA from 1 species